UGUGCAUUCAGUUUUGAAAUGGAUCCUUGGAGCAGACGGCAGCAGCCGUUCAAAGUACCAAAACUACGAUGGUACCAUCGCCAUUUCCGUUAUAUUAGGCUCGCUGUACUGACAGGAGCUACGGCACUCUUUUUGAGCCGUCCCAUAUACGACAUAUUCUUGAGAGACUACUUUGAAGGCCCAAGGCCGAGGAUAGAAAUUAGCCUGCGCCAGUUGAUAGAAAAACCAAAGGAAGGCGAAGAGCCCAAACCAUGGAAGGAAUUCGUAGCAGAACAGCUGUACCUCGCAGAAGAAAGAGCACAACAAAAACAAGAGGAAAGAAAGCAAAAAGAAGAGAAGAAAAGACUAGCAGAAUUAUCCUGAUUACGGCGAGUAGCAGACCAGUGUCGCACUUUACGUGAUUGGCUGAAACGGGGCAACUUGCUAGUAUUAAAAAAAAAAAAAAAAAAAAACUCGUUGAUACCGUAGUGGGAAUCACAACGCAAUGUUGGAAGGCCUGCAGAACAGUUUGUUUUAUUAGCUUUGUAUUAGCAAAAUAAAAAUUGCACGCACAUGGCAG